rnacentral:rRNA from 1 species
ACGGAAGGCAGCAGUGAGGAAUAUUGGUCAAUGGAGGCAACUCUGAACCAGCCAUCUCGCGUGAAGGAAUACGGCCCUAUGGGUCUUAAACUUCUUUUAUAGGGGGAUAAAGUGAGGCAUGCAUGCCUUUUUGUAGGUACCCUAUGAAUAAGCAUCGGCUAACUCCGUGCCAGCAGCCGCGGUAAUACGGAGGAUGCGAGCGUUAUCCGGAUUUAUUGGGUUUAAAGGGUGCGCAGGCGGCACGUUAAGUCAGCGGUGAAAUGCAGGGGCUCAACCCCGGCACUGCCGUUGAAACUGGCGAGCUCGAGUACGGAUGAAGUCGGCGGAAUGUGAUGUGUAGCGGUGAAAUGCUUAGAUAUCACACAGAACACCGAUUGCGAAGGCAGGCGACGAUACCAUUUCUGACGCUCAGGCACGAAAGCGUGGGGAUCGAACAGGAUUAGAUACCCUGGUA